rnacentral:rRNA from 1 species
GCAUAUCAAUAAGCGGAGGAAAAGAAACCAACAGGGAUUGCCUCAGUAACGGCGAGUGAAGCGGCAAAAGCUCAAAUUUGAAAUCUGGCUCUUUUCAGGGUCCGAGUUGUAAUUUGUAGAGGAUGUUUCGGGCAAGACUUCGGUUUAAGUUCCUUGGAACAGGACGUCAUAGAGGGUGAGAAUCCCGUCUUGAACCGUCUGUCGCGUCCGUGUGAAACUCCUUCGACGAGUCGAGUUGUUUGGGAAUGCAGCUCUAAAUGGGAGGUAAAUUUCUUCUAAAGCUAAAUAUUGGCCAGAGACCGAUAGCGCACAAGUAGAGUGAUCGAAAGAUGAAAAGCACUUUGAAAAGAGAGUUAAACAGUAUGUGAAAUUGUUGAAAGGGAAGCUCUUGCAACCAGACUUGUUUCCAACGGUUCAACCGCUGUUUUCAGUGGCCUAUUCCGUUGGUUCAGGCCAGCAUCGGUUCGAGUGGUUAGUUAAAGACUUUGGGAAUGUAUCUACCCCUCCGGGGGUAGACUUAUAGCCCUUUGUGUAAUGUGACCUACCUGGACCGAGGGACGCGCUUUUUGCUCGGAUGCUGGCGUAAUGGUUGUAAGCGACCCGUCUUGAAACACGGACCAAGGAGUCUAACAUCUAUGCGAGUGUUAGGGUGUCAAACCCUUACGCGGAAUGAAAGUGAACGGAGGUAGGAACCCGCAAGGGCGCACUAUCGACCGAUCCUGAUGUCUUCGGAUGGAUUUGAGUAAGAGCAUAGCUGUUGGGACCCGAAAGAUGGUGAACUAUGCCUGAAUAGGGUGAAGCCAGAGGAAACUCUGGUGGAGGCUCGCAGCGGUUCUGACGUGCAAAUCGAUCGUCAAAUUUGGGUAUAGGGGCGAAAGACUAAUCGAACCAUCUGGUAGCUGGUUCCUGCCGAA